GCUAGUGUGAAGUGAUAUUAGUGAGACCAGCUAUGUUGUACGGCUUAAGAGACGGUGGUACUAACAAAAAAGACAGGAAGCAGAGCUGGAGAUGUUGCGAUUUUCUUUGAGAGUCAUGAGGAUGAACAGGAUUAGGAAGGAACAUAUUAGAGGGACAG